UACGUAGGGUCCGAGCGUUGUCCGGAAUUAUUGGGCGUAAAGAGCUCGUAGGCGGCGUGUCGCGUCUGCUGUGAAAGACCGGGGCUUAACUCCGGUUUUGCAGUGGAUACGGGCAUGCUAGAGGUAGGUAGGGGAGACUGGAAUUCCUGGUGUAGCGGUGAAAUGCGCAGAUAUCAGGAGGAACACCGGUGGCGAAGGCGGGUCUCUGGGCCUUACCUGACGCUGAGGAGCGAAAGCAUGGGGAGCGAACAGG
rnacentral:rRNA from 1 species